AUCUUGGUUCCAUGUUCUCCGCACAAAAUGCCCGGUGAAGCCACAGAAACCGUCCCUGCUACAGAGCAGGAGUUGCCAUAGCCUCAGGCUGAGUCUGACAGUGAUGAAUCCAUGCCGGAGCUUGAAGAACAAGAUUCCACACAGACAGCCACACAACAGUUCCAGCUGGCAGCUGCUGCUGAGAUCGAUGAAGAGCCUGUUAGUAAAGCUAAGCAGAGUUGGAGUGAGAAGAAGGCAAGGAAGGCUAUGUCCAAACUGGGUCUUUGACAGGUUACAGGGGUUACGAGAGUCACUAUCCGGAAGUCUAAAAAUAUCCUCUUCGUCAUCACAAAGCCGGAUGUCUAUAAGAGCCCAGCUUCAGAUACCUACGUAGUGUUUGGGGAAGCCAAGAUUGAAGGUUUGUCUCAGCAAGCACAGUUAGCAGCUGCUGAGAAAUUCAAAGUUCAAGGUGAAGCUGUUUCAAACAUUCAAGAAAACACUCAGACUCCAACUGUCCAAGAGGAGAGUGAGGAAGAGGAGGUUGAUGAAACAAACGGGUGUGGAAGUUAAGGACAUAGAAUUGGUCAUGUCACAAGCAAAUGUAUCAAGAGCAGAGGCUGUCCGGGCCCUGAAAAACAACAGUAGCGAUAUUGUAAAUGCUAUUAUGGAAUUGACAAUGUAACUAUUUGACAGCAAGGACACCCCCUUCUUCCUUUUUCCCCCCUUUUUGGUGUUUGAAAAGUGGAACUACAGCUUGGUUUAAAAUUUGUACUGUUUCUAUCACUAAUAAAGUUGUGUCUUCUU